rnacentral:tRNA from 1 species
ACUUAAAUAAUUUAAAAUAAAAUAUUGAUUUGUGGAAUCAAAAAUGUAAUGUAAAUUACUUUAAGUU